rnacentral:SRP_RNA from 1 species
GGCUGCCUCCCGUACGGUGGAGCCAUGUGAACCGGGUCAGGCGGGAAACCGAGCAGCCCUAAGCAGCGUGUUUCCAGGUGUGCGUGGGGGCAGCCUUC